AGUCGAACGGUAACAGGUCUUCGGAUGCUGACGAGUGGCGAACGGGUGAGUAAUACAUCGGAACGUGCCUAAUAGUGGGGGAUAACUACUCGAAAGCAUUAGCUAAUACCGCAUGAGAUCUACGGAUGAAAGCAGGGGACCUUCGGGGCCUUGCUGCUCACCUAGAGCGGCUGAUGGCAGACUAGGUAGUUGCUGGGAUAAAGGCUUACCAAGCCUGCGAUCUGUAGCUGGUCUGAGAGGACGACCAGCCACACUGGGACUGAGACACGGCCCAGACUCCUACGGGAGGCAGCAGUGGGGAAUUUUGGACAAUGGGCGAAAGCCUGAUCCAGCAAUGCCGCGUGCAGGAUGAAGGCCUUCGGGUUGUAAACUGCUUUUGUACGGGACGAAAAGCCUGGGGCUAAUAUCCCCGGUGUCAUGACGGUACCGUAAGAAUAAGCACCGGCUAACUACGUGCCGGCAGCCGCGGUAAUACGUAGGAUGCAAGCGUUAAUCGGAAUUACUGGGCGUAAAGCGUGCGCAGGCGGUUAUGUAAGACAGUGGUGAAAUCCCCGGGCUCAACCUGGGAACUGCCAUUGUGACUGCAAGGCUAGAGUGCGGCAGAGGGGGAUGGAAUUCCGCGUGUAGCAGUGAAAUGCGUAGAUAUGCGGAGGAACACCGAUGGCGAAG
rnacentral:rRNA from 1 species